rnacentral:rRNA from 1 species
AUUGAACGCUGGCGGCAGGCCUAACACAUGCAAGUCGAGCGGAUGAAGGGAGCUUGCUCCUGGAUUCAGCGGCGGACGGGUGAGUAAUGCCUAGGAAUCUGCCUGGUAGUGGGGGAUAACGUCCGGAAACGGGCGCUAAUACCGCAUACGUCCUGAGGGAGAAAGUGGGGGAUCUUCGGACCUCACGCUAUCAGAUGAGCCUAGGUCGGAUUAGCUAGUUGGUGGGGUAAAGGCCUACCAAGGCGACGAUCCGUAACUGGUCUGAGAGGAUGAUCAGUCACACUGGAACUGAGACACGGUCCAGACUCCUACGGGAGGAAGCAGUGGGGAAUAUUGGACAAUGGGCGAAAGCCUGAUCCAGCCAUGCCGCGUGUGUGAAGAAGGUCUUCGGAUUGUAAAGAACUUUAAGUUGGGAGGAAGGGCAGUAAGUUAAUACCUUGCUGUUUUGACGUUACCAACAGAAUAAGCACCGGCUAACUUCGUG